GUAAGGAAUAUUGGACAAUGGACGCAAGUCUGAUCCAGCCAUGCCGCGUGAAGGAUUAAGGUCCUCUGGAAUGUAAACUUCUUUUAUAAGGGACGAAAAAAAGCUUUUCUAAGUCGUCUGACGGUACCUUAUGAAUAAGCACCGGCUAACUCCGUGCCAGCAGCCGCGGUAAUACGGAGGGUGCAAGCGUUAUCCGGAUUCACUGGGUUUAAAGGGUGCGUAGGCGGGCAGGUAAGUCAGUGGUGAAAUCCUAGAGCUUAACUCUAGAACUGCCAUUGAUACUAUCUGUCUUGAAUAUUGUGGAGGUAAGCGGAAUAUGUCAUGUAGCGGUGAAAUGCUUAGAUAUGACAUAGAACACCUAUUGCGAAGGCAGCUUACUACGCAUAUAUUGACGCUGAGGCACGAAAGCGUGGGGAUCAAACAGGAUUAGAUACCCGAGUAGUCC
rnacentral:rRNA from 1 species